ACGCUGUCCCUGCAGUUUUGGGUGAGAUCCUCAGUAAAGGAUGUCAUGGUCAGGCCAAAAAGUCACAAAAUUUCAUGCCCUCUCCUGGGCCAAUUCGAGGUAUUUCCUUUACCUUCCAGAGAUAUAUUUUAGGAGAAAGUUGUAAAGGAAUUCAGAUUUAAGUCACAUGUGCUUGUUUGCAGAUACAACAUACAUUUUGCUUGAAUAUCAAAUCAACAGAUUUUCAAGCAAAGCUUCCUAAUCAACUAAUGUUUUAUAGCCAAAAUUCAAGUACACACAUACUCAAGUUUUUGUCUUUUCCGUAGGUGUGUGAUUGUUAUAAAAAACAUAUGUACCAGCUUUUGGGUAAUAGAUCUUCUUAUAUGAACAGAAUUGUAAACCCACAUUAUUCACACAGUUUAUACACGCGUUCACAUAUGCACCCCUGGAUCGUCUAUAUGAACGCCCAAGCACGUCCAGUAUUAUAGCUGGCAUAUUUAUUGAUUACAUGGUCUAUACACAGCAUAGAGCACAGUGCAUUUGCACACCGGGUCCUCAUAAAUAAAUAUCGAUUUGAAAUAUACCUACAGGAUACACACAUCUAUUCAAAUACAACAUGCAUAAAUUUCAGCUUAGCUUAUCCAUUAAAAGCAAACUUUCCCCCUUUCCCCAUUUAUUGUCUUUCUUUUUGUUUUUCCUUCUCUUUCUUAUCCUUCCCUCUGUCUAGAUUUUCUCCUUUUCUAUUGAUAAGAUUCUUUCCAAAAGCCGCCCCUAUAGCACAGGCACUCACCGGCUGGGCUGGUCCUGGCCAGGGUCGGCCUCUGCUCUCCCCACCUCGGGCUUCCUCCUCGCUCUUGGCUGCUCUGGGCCCCAGUGUGGCCAAGGGUCGCAGCUCUUCCCUGCCUUCCCUUCUCCGAGCCACCAGUUCCUGGCCCUAGCUGUGUUCAGGCGCGCGGCUCCUGUGCUGGGAAUGACUAGAGGCUUCCAGGGAAGGCAAGAGUUUCCUUCUUUCUCUUUAGGAUCGGGGUGGGAAGUGGGGAGCAGUUUGCUCUCUGGACAAAGUGAACCCCUACUCAAGCAACCUCUCCAUUCAGCAUCUUUAGAAGCUGGACUCCAGGGGCUGCAAUCCUGUUUGCCUCCCUCCUCCACGGUAAAGCCAACAGCAGACUCCAUACGUCUGGCAAAUGGAGAACAGGUGCUUUACCCUAACUGUGAUUCAUACGCUCUGCGCUCAGCUUUCUCGCUGUUGAGUCCAGGGAGCUCCC
rnacentral:lncRNA from 1 species